rnacentral:lncRNA from 1 species
GAAGGGGAUGCCUUAGGGAGAUCAAACCGGGUUUUCAGGGAGUGAAGUUUCCAUCCAGGAGACUCAUCUUUUUUGCUGUGGUUUUGUUUUUUGUGUGUUUCUUUUAGGCUUAUAAAUACUAGAAUGGUGGUUUCAUAGCAACAUUUAUUUACCUGUGACCCUCAGGACAGCUUGCAAAUGUAGUCCCCUUCCCAGUUCACUGACAUUUCGCCCCAUUCUUAGGAUGGUCUUAUCAUCUUUGAUUUCCCUUGAGGGAAAGGUUUGUUUUUUUUGUUUUUGUUUAUUUCGGUUGAGUCACAAGAGAUUUUCGAAGGAUUCCAGGCCUUCCUUUGUAAAGCUGUAGAUAAGUAUCUUGUGUCCGCUGCAGCAAUAAUGUAGGAUGUUGUUUGUUUGUUUUAACUAUUGUAUUUAAACCCAAUAUAUAAAUUAGCAGAUAUCUAUAUUUGUGUGCGUUUGUGUGUUUAUUUCUAUGGCACCAUCCCUCCUCCUCCACAAACAUGGAAGAAAAGGCAGAGAAGAGCAGAAGACAAGAGAAGCACCCCCAGGGAAAAUGGAAGUUUGAUCUGAGCAUUGGGUGCUGCUGUGGACUACAAACGGUUGGAGAAGUCAAAGGACUGUGGGUGCUCCAUAUUCACCCUCCUGCUGCUGGCUUCAGAAAAGGAGAGCAUCCCAUCAGGGGAGCCAUGCCUGUGCAUGCCAGGCAGUGACCACAGGGCUGUGCCAAGCGACAGGAGGACAACUGCCAGGAACACAGGGUUGGACACACAACAAGCUGUAACUGAUUGUUGGUUUCAGUGAACCUUCAGGAGUGAGCAAACACAAUCACGUGAAAGAGCUGGGAACCAAGCCUGGCCUGACGGAACCUGCAUUUCCUUCCUGGCCAACGAUAGAAGAGAAACAAAGUGCUACGUUUACUACAGAUGCAAUAGUGUCCUCUAGUGGCAACUCAAAAUUGUCACUUAAAAACCAUUAGAAAAGUUAGAAUUGUCCUGUUAGGACAAUCUAUACACUCUUUCAGAUAAUAUCAGAGACCUUAUUUUUAAACUCUAUACCUUAACCAAAGAAUCAUCAGAGUUUUUAAUUAUUGAGAGUUUAGUACAUUUCUCAUCAUGUGUCGUCAUAAGACAAUUCACCUUUUCCCCCACCAAAAAAUCUCAGCCAUGAACCACUGUAAAUUUGGCAAUAAAGAUUUUGGAAUAGCAGUGGUGAAUAAAGAG